CCUGGGAAAUGCUAUGGAAAUGGCAAUUGUCUUCCAUUCAUAGAUGAGUGUGCACAAAGAUACUUGUGCGUGAAGGAGAUUUAAGUGGAAAAGUCGAUGCACAGAGACAGUCCCACUCUCUCGGCGUUGGAAGCCUGGGUCCAGUGGCACGAAAAGUCGUUACACCUGGAGACUUCCUCAGCUGCAUUGGAUGGCCGUGUUGUCCUUUGUGCUCCAUCACGCCCUAAGCACUCCACAGUGCUUUGCUGCGUCGCCCUCUCAGCCGUUGAACCUUCUCAUUGGUUUCUUCCAUCUGUUCUGCCAAAACAGUCUUCACAUGCUGGGUGAGCAAAGCCCUGGUUCACCAGGGGUCGACGUCGACCCGAUGGCUACCCUCACAAGGUUUAGCCGGCCUGUCGAAGCCAUUGCCUGGGGUGUGGCCGCUGCUGCAUGCUAGCAGCUACUGGGAGCCACAAGUGAGAGCUGGGUGUCAGGUGGGGGUCAGAGGCUGGAGAGCUGCCCUAGGAGGGCACGACAAGCCCUCCAUACCAGAGAUACUACCCCUCCCUGAGCACCCCAUACACCCCAAGGAUCUAGACCUGGGCGUCUACAUCAAAUACCGGCUGGAUGGCUCACUAUUCGACCUUCACCGCCUGACUGCAAAAACAAAGACAACAGAGAGACUCAUCCUGGAAGCUCUCUUUGCAGAUGACUGUGCUCUCAUGGCCCACCAAGAAAAUCAUCUCCAAACCAUAGUGGACAGGUUCUCCACCGCAACAAAACUGUUUGGCCUGACUAUCAGCCUCAGCAAAACAGAGGUGCUGUUCCAACCUGCACCAGGGAGGCCAACGAACCAGCCGUGCAUUACAAUCGACAGCACACAGCUUUCUAACGUCAACACUUUCAAGUACCUGGGCAGCACCAUCGCCAACGACGGGUCCCUAGACCAUGAGAUUAAUGCCAGGAUCCAAAAGGCCAGCCAGGCACUCGGGCGGCUGCGCUCCAAAGUCCUCCAACACAGCGGUGUAAGCACUGCGACGAAGCUCAAAGUGUACAACGCAGCGGUCCUCAGCUCGCUCCUGUACGGUGUGAGAUAUGGACACUGUACCGGAAGCACAUGAAGCAGCUGGAGCAAUUCCACCAACGCUCCCUCCGGUCAAUCAUGAGGAUCCGAUGGCAGGACCGAAUCACCAACCAGGAAGUCCUCGACAGAGCCAACUCCACCAGCAUCGAAGUCCUGGUCCUCAAAGCCCAG
rnacentral:lncRNA from 1 species